AGUACGCUGCCCUAGCUGGGCCUCGUGAAAUGCCACGGGCCCUGGGGAUGAGGGCUCGAGGGAGCCGAGGCCUGUGAUGGAGUCCGAGUCUGGGGUCUCGCUGCCCCUCCCGCCCGCCCAACCGCCGGCUCCUGGGUUCUUGUAUCCACCCACCCAGCCCCCACCCUCCAGCGCCCAGGCGCCAGCUUCCGGGCCCGCCCACACCGCACCCCCCACCCUCCGUGCGGGUGCGGGUUUGGGUGGUGUGUCAGGAAAGGUGCAAAGCUGGGCUGUGGCUUCCAGUCGGUGCAGUGGGAUUUGGCCAAGGCGGAAAGCGGGGAGCGUGCCCCUUGUGAAGUGCGACCCGUCUUCUUACAAGAAUUCAAGGAGCUUAAAAGGAAACUCCAGUCACACAAACACGCAAUGUAUGCCUGAUAACGCACAGCAUGUGCACAAGUCGAGAACCGCCGUGGUUAGGCACAUCGUUUCAUCCUCCGUUUUGUCCUUCUCCAAUAUGGAGUUGAGGACCUUGAGCACCUCUGCCUCACUGGACACGCCGGCCGGAGUCUUCGCCUGUCGCCCGAUGAUGGUUUUUUGAAGAGCUCUCUCGUGCCUGGAGACGAGGAACUCCAAAUGUUCCAGCAGCAGCUGGCGGGAGAGGCAAAAGGAACACCGUGUUUCAAGAACACCUUCAAUUCCGGGCCUCAAGUUCACCAAAUGCAAAACCAAGUCUGAAUCCCUUCAAUUCAGUUCCCAGGUAGGGAGCCACCCCCUCGAAUGUGUUAAAAUGGCCUUACUCCUCCUCACGGAUCAAACAAGGUUUGAGAGCAAUAGGUCCCAGCCAAAUCCAUGGGGACACGGAGUGAAUGGUGUCCUGUGUUUAAAGACACUGGCAGUGCACCUAACUUGGAUAGUUGCCACCUUGCUGUAUGCUGUAUGCAAUUUGAUACUGAAAGUAGACCUUUUGCCCCUGGAACCAUGCUGGGAAAAUUCUGUCCCUUAGAUGUUGCUGAUGUGUUUUCUUUCACAUCCUUAUACUUUGUGUAAUGAAAACACUAAGAUUCGUGGUAAUGCCUUCUGGUUCUCCCACCCCACUGCUCCCCGAAAUGGGUAUUUUUGCAAGUUGAGAGGUAACAAAAAGUGUGGGUUGGCUGCUUUCUGCGUGGAGCCUGCUUUGGGUCCUCUUGCUCCUUUCUCUCUGCCCCUUUCUCCUCAUACACACUCGUUCUCUCUCUCUCUCUCUCUCUCUCUCUCUCUCUCUCUCUCUCUCUCUCUCUCUCUCUCUCUCUCUCUCUCUCUCUCUCUCUCUCUCUCUCUCUCUCUCUCUCUCUCUCUCUCUCUCUCUCUCUC
rnacentral:lncRNA from 1 species